rnacentral:rRNA from 1 species
UGCAGUCGAGCGGAGAUGAGGUGCUUGCACCUUAUCUUAGCGGCGGACGGGUGAGUAAUGCUUAGGAAUCUGCCUAUUAGUGGGGGACAACAUUUCGAAAGGAAUGCUAAUACCGCAUACGCCCUACGGGGGAAAGCAGGGGAUCUUCGGACCUUGCGCUAAUAGAUGAGCCUAAGUCGGAUUAGCUAGUUGGUGGGGUAAAGGCCUACCAAGGCGACGAUCUGUAGCGGGUCUGAGAGGAUGAUCCGCCACACUGGGACUGAGACACGGCCCAGACUCCUACGGGAGGCAGCAGUGGGGAAUAUUGGACAAUGGGGGGAACCCUGAUCCAGCCAUGCCGCGUGUGUGAAGAAGGCCUUUUGGUUGUAAAGCACUUUAAGCGAGGAGGAGGAGCUCUAGACUAAUACUCUAGAUGCUUGGACGUUACUCGCAGAAUAAGCACCGGCUAACUCUGUGCCAGCAGCCGCGGUAAUACAGAGGGUGCAAGCGUUAAUCGGAUUUACUGGGCGUAAAGCGUGCGUAGGUGGUCUUUUAAGUCGGAUGUGAAAUCCCUGAGCUUAACUUAGGAAUUGCAUUCGAUACUGGGAGACUAGAGUAUGGGAGAGGAUGGUAGAAUUCCAGGUGUAGCGGUGAAAUGCGUAGAGAUCUGGAGGAAUACCGAUGGCGAAGGCAGCCAUCUGGCCUAAUACUGACACUGAGGUACGAAAGCAUGGGGAGCAAACAGGAUUAGAUACCCUGGUAGUCCAUGCCGUAAACGAUGUCUACUAGCCGUUGGGGCCUUUGAGGCUUUAGUGGCGCAGCUAACGCGAUAAGUAGACCGCCUGGGGAGUACGGUCCCAAGACUAAAACUCAAAUGAAUUGACGGGGGCCCGCACAAACCGGUGGAGCAUGUGGUUUAAUUCGAUGCACCCGAAAAACCUUACCUGGUCUUGACAUA